GCAUAUCUAUAAGCGGAGGAAAAAGAAACCAACAGGGGAUUGCCCCAGUAACGGCGAGUGAAGCGGCAACAGCUCAAAUUUGAAAUCUGGCCCCCAGGGCCCGAGUUGUAAUUUGUAGAGGAUGCUUUUGGCGCGGUGCCUUCCGAGUUCCCUGGAACGGGACGCCAUAGAGGGUGAGAGCCCCGUCUGGUUGGACACCUAGCCUCUGUAAAGCUCCUUCGACGAGUCGAGUAGUUUGGGAAUGCUGCUCUAAAUGGGAGGUAUAUGUCUUCUAAAGCUAAAUACCGGCCAGAGACCGAUAGCGCACAAGUAGAGUGAUCGAAAGAUGAAAAGCACUUUGAAAAGAGGGUUAAAUAGUACGUGAAAUUGUUGAAAGGGAAGCGUUUGUGACCAGACUUGGGCCCGGUUGAUCAUCCACCGUUCUCGGUGGUGCACUCUGCCGGCCCAGGCCAGCAUCAGUUCGCGCCGGGGGAUAAAGGCUUCGGGAAUGUGGCUCCUCCGGGAGUGUUAUAGCCCGUUGUGUAAUACCCUGGUGCGGACUGAGGUUCGCGCUCCGCAAGGAUGCUGGCGUAAUGGUCAUCAGCGACCCGUCUUGAAACACGGACCAAGGAGUCGUCUUCGUAUGCGAGUGUUCGGGUGUCAAACCCCUACGCGUAAUGAAAGUGAACGCAGGUGAGAGCUUCGGCGCAUCAUCGACCGAUCCUGAUGUUCUCGGAUGGAUUUGAGUAAGAGCAUACGGGGCCGGACCCGAAAGAAGGUGAACUAUGCCUGUAUAGGGUGAAGCCAGAGGAAACUCUGGUGGAGGCUCGCAGCGGUUCUGACGUGCAAAUCGAUCGUCAAAUAUGGGCAUGGGGGGCGAAAGACUAAUCGAACCUUCUAGUAGCUGGUUUCCGCCGAAG
rnacentral:rRNA from 2 species